AGUGAACGCUGGCGGUAGGCCUAACACAUGCAAGUCGAACGGCAGCACAGUAAGAGCUUGCUCUUACGGGUGGCGAGUGGCGGACGAGUGAGGAAUACAUCGGAAUCUACUUUUUCGUGGGGGAUAACGUAGGGAAACUUACGCUAAUACCGCAUACGACCUACGGGUGAAAGCAGGGGAUCUUCGGACCUUGCGCGAUUGAAUGAGCCGAUGCCGGAUUAGCUAGUUGGCGGGGUAAAGGCCCACCAAGGCGACGAUCCGUAGCUGGUCUGAGAGGAUGAUCAGCCACACUGGAACUGAGACACGGUCCAGACUCCUACGGGAGGCAGCAGUGGGGAAUAUUGGACAAUGGGCGCAAGCCUGAUCCAGCCAUACCGCGUGGGUGAAGAAGGCCUUCGGGUUGUAAAGCCCUUUUGUUGGGAAAGAAAAGCAGCAGGUUAAUACCCCGCUGUUCUGACGGUACCCAAAGAAUAAGCACCGGCUAACUUCGUG
rnacentral:rRNA from 1 species